rnacentral:rRNA from 1 species
UACAGAGGUCCCAAGCGUUGUCCGGAUUCACUGGGCGUAAAGGGUGCGUAGGUGGUUAGGUAAGUCGGAUGUGAAAUCUCCAGGCUCAACCUGGAAAUGGCAUCGGAAACUACCUUGCUCGAGGUUUGGAGGGGGGACUGGAAUACUUGGUGUAGCAGUGAAAUGCGUAGAUAUCAAGUGGAACACCAGUGGCGAAGGCGAGUCCCUGGACAACACCUGACACUGAGGCACGAAAGCUAGGGGAGCAAACAGG